GAAGCUAUCUGACAGGAGAAAUACCAUGAUCAUGAAGGUGGUUUUCCCAGGAUGAGGUUUAUCUAUUCCACUAUGGCUGUGCUGACCUCUGAGAUUUUCCCAAAUGUGAGACAUUCAACUGCCUAAUUUAUGGUGUUGGGGACUGCAUUUACAUACUCUCCUGA